GACGAACGCUGGCGGCGUGCUUAACACAUGCAAGUCGAACGGAAAGGCCCUGCUUUUGUGGGGUGCUCGAGUGGCGAAAGGGUGAGUAACACGUGAGUAACCUGCCCUUGACUUUGGGAUAACUUCAGGAAACUGGGGCUAAUACCGGAUAGGAGCUCCUGCUGCAUGGUGGGGGUUGGAAAGUUUCGGCGGUUGGGGAUGGACUCGCGGCUUAUCAGCUUGUUGGUGGGGUAGUGGCUUACCAAGGCUUUGACGGGUAGCCGGCCUGAGAGGGUGACCGGCCACAUUGGGACUGAGAUACGGACCAGACUCCUACGGGAGGCAGCAGUGGGGAAUAUUGCACAAUGGGCGGAAGCCUGAUGCAGCAACGCCGCGUGCGGGAUGACGGCCUUCGGGUUGUAAACCGCUUUCGCCUGUGACGAAGCGUGAGUGACGGUAAUGGGUAAAGAAGCACCGGCUAACUACGUG
rnacentral:rRNA from 1 species